UCACGCGAGCCUCGCGUCUCGAGCCCACCACGCCCCUCUCUCGGCCUCACUGUGCAGCAGGUUAACGCGGUUAUCACCACAGCCCUGGUCAUUAACAGAGGCUGGUUAACGUUCUGCAGUGGAGUUAAUGUACUGAAAGAAUGAGCUGAGUUCUCCUAUGUUCUGUUUCUACAGGUUCUUCUGAAGAUGCAGUGGAAGUGGAAGUGUUACUGAAGGGCCAACUGAUGUUCGGACACUGGUGCUCAGAGGCCUUCUAGUCAUCCUCAGUGACAUCUCCACAGACUUCUACACAACAGCCUUUGACUCUGAUGACUCAUUCUGCCACGCUGACAUUGGGAUCCUCCUCAUUCAGCAUAAAGGUGCUGAGCUCUCAUCAUCCCUCCAUCUCAGUCCAGCCCCAUUGAAGAUCAUCAUUGAGGGACAAGUCGUGAUGGACGACAUUCAAGACCUGCCAAAAGCUGUGUGCAUUAGGCUUGGGCUUACAUAUGCAGCGUAUCUCAACUGUCCCAACUCUGUGAAGAACACAUUCCAGUUCAUCCAACAGGUUCUUCUCACACUGGGCCACGGUGAACUAAA